rnacentral:rRNA from 1 species
UACGUAGGGUGCGAGCGUUGCCCGGAUUUAUUGGGCGUAAAGGGCGCGCAGGCGGCUCGGCACGUCCGUUGUGAAAUCGCCCGGCUCAACUGGGGCGGGGGUCAGCGGAUACGGUCGAGCUUGAGCAAGCCAGGGGGGCAAUGGAAUUCCCGGUGUAGUGGUGGAAUGCGUAGAUAUCGGGAGGAACACCAGUGGCGAAAGCGGCGCGCUGGAUCUCUUCUGACGCUGAGGCGCGAAAGCCAGGGGGAGCGAACGGGG